CCUACGGGUGACAGCAGUGAGGAAUAUUGGUCAAUGGGCGCGAGCCUGAACCAGCCAAGCAGCGUGAAGGAUGACUGUCCAGCGGGUCGUAAACUUCUUUUAUAAAGGAAUAAAGUCAGGCACUCGUGCCCUUUUGUAUGUACCUUAUGAAUAAGCAUCGGCUAACUCCGUGCCAGCAGCCGCGGUAAUUCGGAGGAUCCGAGCGUUAUCCGGAUUUAUUGGGUUUAAAGGGGGCGUCGAUGGGUUGUUAAGUCAGGGGUGAAAGGCCGCGGCUCAACCGUAGGAUUGCAGUUGAAACUGGCGGGCUGGAGUUGGAUAGAAGUAGGCGGAAUGCGUGGUGUAGCGGUGAAAUGCUUAGAUAUCGCGAAGAACUCCGAUUGCGAAGGCAGCGUACUGGACUGACACUGACGUUGAUGCACGAAAGUGUGGGUAUCGAACAGGAUUAGAUACCCUUGUAGUC
rnacentral:rRNA from 1 species